GCACUGCUGAGGAGUCCCAUACUCGGACGAAACGGCCGUCCAGUGC
rfam:Schistosoma curassoni strain Dakar, Senegal genome assembly, scaffold: SCTD_contig0002375